rnacentral:rRNA from 1 species
UACGUAGGGAGCAAGCGUUGUCCGGAAUCAUUGGGCGUAAAGAGCGCGUAGGCGGCCCUGUAAGUCCGUUCUGAAAGUCAAAGGCUCAACCUUUGAAAGCGGAUGGAUACUGCAGGGCUAGAGUCCGGAAGAGGCGAGUGGAAUUCCAGGUGUAGCGGUGAAAUGCGUAGAUAUCUGGAGGAACACCGGUGGCGAAGGCGGCAUCCUGGACCGGCAUUGACGCUGAGGAGCGAAAGCUAGGGGAGCAAACGGG